rnacentral:rRNA from 1 species
CUUGACAAACUAUAAGAGGUCCAGCCUGCCCAGUGACUCUGUUCAACGGCCGCGGUAUCCUAACCGUGCGAAGGUAGCGUAAUCACUUGUUCUUUAAAUGAGGACUAGUAUGAAUGGCACCACGAGGGUUAUACUGUCUCCUUUCUCUAAUCAGUAAAACUAAUCUUCCCGUGCAGAAGCGGGAAUAAACCUAUAAGACGAGAAGACCCUAUGGAGCUUCAAACUAAGUCACAUUUGCUUUACUCUCUACCCCUCCCCAGAGAAAUCAUAAACAUUUUAACAAACUGAUGACUAGUUUUCGGUUGGGGUGACCGCGGAGCAGAAAAAAACCUCCACAUUGAAAGGAAUUUAAUCCUAAGCCAAGAGCCACAACUCUAAGCAUCAAUAAAACGACAUUAAUUGACCCAAUAUAUUGAUCAACGAAC